GACGAACGCUGGCGGCGUGCUUAACACAUGCAAGUCGAACGGAAAGGCCCUGCUUUUGUGGGGUGCUCGAGUGGCGAACGGGUGAGUAACACGUGAGUAACCUGCCCUUGACUUUGGGAUAACUUCAGGAAACUGGGGCUAAUACCGGAUAGGAGCUCGUGCUGCAUGGUGGGGGUUGGAAAGUUUCGGCGGUUGGGGAUGGACUCGCGGCUUAUCAGCUUGUUGGUGGGGUAGUGGCUUACCAAGGCUUUGACGGGUAGCCGGCCUGAGAGGGUGACCGGCCACAUUGGGACUGAGAUACGGCCCAGACUCCUACGGGAGGCAGCAGUGGGGAAUAUUGCACAAUGGGCGGAAGCCUGAUGCAGCAACGCCGCGUGCGGGAUGACGGCCUUCGGGUUGUAAACCGCUUUCGCCUGUGACGAAGCGUGAGUGACGGUAAUGGGUAAAGAAGCACCGGCUAACUACGUG
rnacentral:rRNA from 1 species